AUUGAACGCUGGCGGCAUGCCUUACACAUGCAAGUCGAACGGUAACAGGUCUUCGGAUGCUGACGAGUGGCGAACGGGUGAGUAAUACAUCGGAACGUGCCUAGUAGUGGGGGAUAACUACUCGAAAGAGUGGCUAAUACCGCAUGAGAUCUACGGAUGAAAGCAGGGGAUCGCAAGACCUUGUGCUACCAGAGCGGCCGAUGGCAGAUUAGGUAGUUGGUGGGAUAAAAGCUUACCAAGCCGGCGAUCUGUAGCUGGUCUGAGAGGACGAUCAGCCCGACUCGGACUGAGACACGGCCCAGACGACUACGGGAGGCAGCAGUGGGGAAUUUUGGACAAUGGGCGCAAGCCUGAUCCAGCAAUGCCGCAUGCAGGAUGAAGGGCUUCGGGUUGUAAACUGCUUUUGUACGGAACGAAAAGCCCUGGGUUAAUACCCUGGGGUCAUGACGGUACCGUAAGAAUAAGCACCGGCUAACUACGUGCCAGCAGCCGCGGUAACAC
rnacentral:rRNA from 1 species